rnacentral:hammerhead_ribozyme from 1 species
AUCCAGCUGAUGAGUCCCAAACAGGACGAUAAACGUGUCUUGGAU